AGAGCUGAAGGGAGACAAGAGGGAGAGAGAAAUGAGCGUCUUGAGGUCUCCUGGUGGGAGAGGAUUCCCAGAAACUGGGAAGUGUGUUGAGUUCCCAGCAGCCCCACUCUAUGUGAGUAGCUUCCCCCAGUGAAACAGACCAUACCAGGUUUUCCUAGAAGGGCUGGCAUCUUCUAGCUGGGUUCAGCUGCCAUUCCUUCCACAAAGAUAAGCCAUGAACCUUUCCUAAGGCAGAGAUCAGUGGCACAACUUCACAGCUCCAAAAUACCACACGGUUGGAGGCAGGAUUUUGAUCCCCUGCCAGUUCUGAUUUCUGCAGCUGCUGAGUUACCAGCUGCCUGUCUGUUGUCUCAGCAAUGUUCCUGGGAUGCCCAAACGACCUUCACUGGCUGCUCCAACUUCUGCAGCCUUGGUCACAGCAAAAUCCCCUGGCCCUGCAGCACUGAACCCUGACUGAGGGCCCUCACCAAGGCACAGGGUUCUUUGGACAUACCUUCCUGUAGCAGUCCACCAGGAGGUUUCCCAUAAGCACCACCAGCUGUGAGAAGGAUGGCCUGAUCUCGAACUUCUCCUCCCAGCACUUCUGCAUGAUGUUGUAGCUGCCAAGAGGGAAGGGACAGCACUGAGUUAGCAGAAGGGAUCCUGCUAAUGUGUUAUCAGAACUACAGACACCACCAUGAUCUCCAGGACACUCACCUAGAGUGAAUAUCUCCCAAAGAAGAAUCCCAAAAGACCACACAUCGCUCAGGGUAGUGUAGAGGUUGUUGAAGAUGCUCUCUGGAGCCAUCCACUUAAGGGGCAAGAAGGUCUAAGAGAGAAUAACAAAUGAAACAAGAAGAGAGUCAGCUGUACCCACAGCACUUGUUUCAACAGAUAACAGCCUGACACCCAAAUUACAAGCAAAGAAGACCCUUCAGAUCUGCCUGUGAGCCCAACACAUCUGUUGACAUCUGCUGUCAGUCGGUUCUGGGAGGGACCAGUUGCCUCUUUCUUUGUACAGAACAGACCCAGCAGGCAGGAGGAAAGAAUGGAUGUGCUAUGUCCAUCUCCAUCACAGCCCGCCGUGAUGAAUGCACACAUGUCACAGUGUGUGUUCUCUGUUCCCUUGCUCUUGAGGAGGCCACUGACUCACACAACCUGACACAAGACUCCUGAAGAAAGUCCAGGCCUAUCUGACCGUGGAGACCUGAGACCAGGCUGGAGGAGGCUAGGGAUGACCAGAAAAGAGCCAAAGGAUACAUCCAGCUUAUUUUCUGUUCUUAUUCACUCAGAGUAAUAAAAAAGAAAGCCCUCACUUGUCCAGCUUGUAGGCAGCACUGGCUGCUGCUCCUGGGAUUUGCUUGCACAAUGAAUACCAAAAUAAUCUCCAGGAAGGAUUGCAAAGGGGCUCAGUUUCAUUUCCCAUUUUGGACAGGAAACCAGCUCUGUCAAGGCUGGACCGAAAACCCCAACCCCUCUGGGGGAGGGUCCCCUGACCAAGCUCUGAGUACCUGUUUGACAGCACAUGGGAGAAAGCAUGAGAGCACUUUGCAGAACUUUGCAGAUUAGAUAAGGAUUGGGGUUUAAGGCACCUGUCUCCAUUCUCAGCCUCAGUUUCUCUAACAUAGCCUGCUUUGCUUGGGAUUGGAGAUUCACAAAUGCCUCAGGGCUGGAGUGGAUAGAUUGUUGUUAAAAUCACAGAGAAAUGUCUUCUGCAAAAGCUCAAUUACAGCCUUAUCCUCUCCUGCACCAAAGAUUGGAGAUAUCUCUCUGGAAAGUAGCUGCUUGCACG